UGCUCUUCUUGGAUGAGUUGCGAACGGGUGAGUAACGCGUAGGUAACCUGCCUUGUAGCGGGGGAUAACUAUUGGAAACGAUAGCUAAUACCGCAUAACAAUGGAUGACACAUGUCAUUUAUUUGAAAGGGGCAAUUGCUCCACUACAAGAUGGACCUGCGUUGUAUUAGCUAGUAGGUGAGGUAAUGGCUCACCUAGGCGACGAUACAUAGCCGACCUGAGAGGGUGAUCGGCCACACUGGGACUGAGACACGGCCCAGACUCCUACGGGAGGCAGCAGUAGGGAAUCUUCGGCAAUGGGGGCAACCCUGACCGAGCAACGCCGCGUGAGUGAAGAAGGUUUUCGGAUCGUAAAGCUCUGUUGUAAGUCAAGAACGGGUGUGAGAGUGGAAAGUUCACACUGUGACGGUAGCUUACCAGAAAGGGACGGCUAACUACGUGCCAGCAGCCGCGGUAAUACGUAGGUCCCGAGCGUUGUCCGGAUUUAUUGGGCGUAAAGCGAGCGCAGGCGGUUUGAUAAGUCUGAAGUUAAAGGCUGUGGCUCAACCAUAGUUCGCUUUGGAAACUGUCAAACUUGAGUGCAGAAGGGGAGAGUGGAAUUCCAUGUGUAGCGGUGAAAUGCGUAGAUAUAUGGAGGAACACCGGUGGCGAAAGCGGCUCUCUGGUCUGUAACUGACGCUGAGGCUCGAAAGCGUGGGGAGCGAACAGGAUUAGAUACCCUG
rnacentral:rRNA from 1 species